rnacentral:rRNA from 1 species
GAUGAACGCUGCCAGAAUGCUUAACACAUGCAAGUCUUUGGCGAAGCUGUGCUUGCACAGCCUAGCCAAGGCGGACGGGUGAGUAACGCGUAAGGAACUUGCCCUGCAGUCAGGGAUAACAGACGGAAACGACUGAUAAGACCUGGUAAAGUCAGGCGGACUCAUGUCCAGCCUGAUGAAAAGAGAUGCUGCAGGAGAGCCUUGCGUCCUAUUAGCUUGUUGGUGGGGUAACGGCCCACCAAGGCGAUGAUAGGUAGCCGGCCUGAGAGGGUGGACGGCCACAAGGGGACUGAGAUACGGCCCUUACUCCUACGGGAGGCAGCAGUGGGGAAUAUUGGACAAUGGGGGCAACCCUGAUCCAGCAAUUCUGUGUGCACGAUGAAGGUUUUCGGAUUGUAAAGUGCUUUCAGCAGGGAAGAAAAAGAUGACGGUACCUGCAGAAGAAGCGACGGCUAAAUACGU